GCCGGCUUUCCAACAGCCGGCAAUACUGCAGAGGCACACCAUCAUUGCCGGAAGUGCGGUCGGGUACCCCCCUCCAAUCCAUGGCAGACAAAGCCGAAUCUUCGCUCUUGGCAGGGUGCUGAUUCAAAAUUCGCGCGCU
rnacentral:ncRNA from 1 species